GACAGGUGUUAAUUUUACUAGGCUUCAUUAAUACAGAAGAAAGAAAAUGUCUUCCGGGAAAGUCGCCACUGCUGAAACAAUCAACACAUGUGUCCCGUCCUGCCAUCAAUACACCUUCAUGACCCCUGGCGGUCGUUACUUACAAAGCCCCAGCGUGACCUAAUACUGCCUGGCGUAGAAUCUGCUCUUGUAGCAGGAGAGAUCUCACAUGAGCUCCUAGCUUCCAGGAGAAGAGUUUCUCCCUCAGCGGGGUGGCAGCAGCUGCCCUGUCUGGUCUGGUGCCCAAGGACCACCCCUCGCCCAGGUGGUGAUUCGGCAGUGACACUGCUUUCAGAGCCUGCCCCAGGAUGCGAGGCCCAGGAUUUGUACUUGAAGGUGGCCACAGGGAGAGCCUGGUUCCUUCACUUCUUGGCUAAAGGAAGACCACUGCCCUGGGCCUUCACACCACGGAGCCAGUCUCAUUGCCCUGAAGUAGUACACGUGGGACUUGAAAUGCAGCUUGAACACGUAGUCCUUGUGGAGGUCUUCAGACUCCGAGGGAAUGCAGGUUCCCAGACAGCUGAUUCUACAAGACAAGUCAGCCUGUAAGGAGCCCGGUGGAAAGGCCAACUCAGUGUCACAGCCCGGUGGGGCCCGCCGGCAGGGCUGUGCUUCUGUGAGCAGGCUUCCUGGGGGUGACUUAAGAAAACGGCCUUUCGCUCUGGGAGGGGGACUGCGUGAGCCUGGGUUAAUUUUCCUGUCAACUCCCCCCCCCAACCCCCGCCGUAUCUCAGAAUGUGACCUUAUUUGGAAAUAGGGUCAUCGGAGGUAGAAUUGAGGAGAUCGUCCUGGAGUAGAGGCCCGUAUCCACUACGGCUGACAGACAGACACGGGGCAGCCCCUGUGACCACAGGCAGGCGCGAGUGAUGUGUCUACAAGCCCAAGAACACCAAGGCUGGCCAGCAACCCACAGCAGCCGGCAGAGGCCAGGUGGCCUCCUCCCGCACGGGUUUAGAGGGAGCGCGGCCCUCUUGCCACGCUGAUUUCUGGACCUGUGACCUCCAGGCUGGUGAGACACAUCUGCCCAGCGGCUGGUGCUUGUUAGGGCAUCCGUGGGAAAGGACCCAUCACCCUCAACUCUAAGCCGGCAGGAGCCCAGCGCCAGCCAGCACCUCCUGACUGCCACCUGGUGGCCCUGGCCGCAACGCUGCAUUUCAGCGCGGAGCCUCCAGGCCCCACCCUGCGCUGGUGGGAACAGGCGUUCUGGGCGUCCUGGCUUAACUCCGGAGCUCCAUGGGCUCCUGAGGCCCGCAGGAGCUGCCAGCACACAGCAUCACCGUGAAAUCACAGGCAGCCCGGGGGGGGCGCCAAGACCAGAGCCUGUGCCUCCUUGCCUUCUCUCCAAAGCCCCUGUGUCACCUCUCAGAGGACCCUAAGAAGCCGCAUCUGUGUCCCUGACAAGACAGCAGCUCAGUGCCAGGAAGCCUUGACGAAGAGAGAAAUGCAUGGUGAAUAUAAUCACUGCCACUACAUCGUUCACUUCAAAGGGGUGAACCGGGCAAACGCACCACAAUAAAAUAUACAUAUACACACACCUGCGUCUACCUCAUUCCAUCUCUGGGGCUUUUCCAGUGACCUGUGUUUAAUCCGAGAGACAUUCCUAAGUCAGGCGCCUGCGAGAAGAGGGCAAAUGGCUCUGGCUGCGAGUCGCUUGCAGUCUGAUGGGGGAGACGGCGUGUUAGGCCGAGAGAACACAGGAAGCAGAGCUGUCCCUGUGGCCAUCACUCCUGGCUGCCACUUACCCACUGGCGAAAGGCACAAGAAAAGGCGAACGGUGGGUUCCAGCAGGUGAUGGUGGCAACCAACCAGAGUGGGGAUCUGAUGCUUGUGCAGUAGCACACACGAGUACA